rnacentral:rRNA from 1 species
UACAGAGGUCUCAAGCGUUGUUCGGAUUCAUUGGGCGUAAAGGGUGCGUAGGCGGCGCGGUAAGUCGGGUGUGAAAUCUUGGAGCUUAACUCCGAAACUGCAUUCGAUACUGCCGUGCUUGAGGACUGGAGAGGAGACUGGAAUUUACGGUGUAGCGGUGAAAUGCGUAGAUAUCGUAAGGAAGGCCAGUGGCGAAGGCGGCAUCCUGGACCAAUUCUGACGCUGAGGAGCGAAAGCCAGGGGAGCAAACGGG